GACGAACGCUGGCGGUGUGCUUAACACAUGCAAGUCGAACGGUAAGGCCCUUUCGGGGGUACACGAGUGGCGAACGGGUGAGUAACACGUGAGUAACCUGCCCUCAUCUCUGGGAUAACAGUCGGAAACGGUUGCUAAUACUGGAUAUGAGCUUGCAAGGCAUCUUGUGGGUUGGAAAGAUUUUUUUUGGUUGGGGAUGGACUCGCGGCCUAUCAGCUUGUUGGUGAGGUAGUGGCUCACCAAGGCUUCGACGGGUAGCCGGCCUGAGAGGGCGACCGGCCACAUUGGGACUGAGAUACGGCCCAAACUCCUACGGGAGGCAGCAGUGGGGAAUAUUGCACAAUGGACGGAAGUCUGAUGCGGCAACGCCGCGUGCGGGAUGACGGCCUUCGGGUUGUAAACCGCUUUCAAUUGUGACGAAGCUUUUUUGCGACGGCAGCAGUAGAAGAAGCACCGGCUAACUACGUG
rnacentral:rRNA from 1 species